GAUGAACGCUGGCGGCGUGCCUAAUACAUGCAAGUCGAGCGAACAGACGAGGAGCUUGCUCCUCUGACGUUAGCGGCGGACGGGUGAGUAACACGUGGAUAACCUACCUAUAAGACUGGGAUAACUUCGGGAAACCGGAGCUAAUACCGGAUAAUAUAUUGAACCGCAUGGUUCAAUAGUGAAAGACGGUUUUGCUGUCACUUAUAGAUGGAUCCGCGCCGCAUUAGCUAGUUGGUAAGGUAACGGCUUACCAAGGCAACGAUGCGUAGCCGACCUGAGAGGGUGAUCGGCCACACUGGAACUGAGACACGGGCCAGACCCCUACGGGAGGCAGCAGUAGGGAAUCUUCCGCAAUGGGCGAAAGCUUGACGGAGCAACGCCGCGUGAGUGAUGAAGGUCUUCGGAUCGUAAAACUCUGUUAUUAGGGAAGAACAAAUGUGUAAGUAACUAUGCACGUCUUGACGGUACCUAAUCAGAAAGCCACGGCUAACUACGU
rnacentral:rRNA from 1 species